UUCGAGCGUCAUUACAACCCUCAAGCUCUGCUUGGUACUGGACUCCGCGGCUAACCCCGCGGGUCUUAAAAUCAGUGGCGGCGCCUCAGGCUCUGAACGUAGUAUAUAUUCCUCGUUACGGAGUCCUGGCGGCGGUAGUCAUCAACCCCCAACUUUCUAAGUUUGACCUCGGAUCAGGUAGGGAUACCCGCUGAACUUAA
rnacentral:misc_RNA from 1 species